UACGUAGGGGGCAAGCGUUGUCCGGAAUUAUUGGGCGUAAAGGGCGCGUAGGCGGCCUGGCAAGUGGAAGGUGAAAUCCCUCGGCUUAACCGAGGAACUGCCCUCCAAACUGCUUGGCUCGAGACCGGGAGAGGUGAGUGGAAUUCCCAGUGUAGCGGUGAAAUGCGUAGAUAUUGGGAGGAACACCAGUGGCGAAGGCGGCUCACUGGACCGGUACUGACGCUGAUGCGCGAAAGCGUGGGGAGCAAACGGG
rnacentral:rRNA from 1 species